ACGAGGAUAAAUUUGUAAAAUACAUCUUUGCCUGCAAACGCAAAAAGCAAAACCCCUCGAACCAUCAGCCUGACACCGAAACCCCCCGCCGCGUUGUUUGCGCGCCAUCGCUGAGAGACUCCGCUCCCAUUUCCCAACGAGAAUCAAACACCACGCAGCAAAACCUCCGCUCCCAUUUGAAAAUCCUCCAGCUCGCGGGGCUUCCCACCGGCGCGGCCGCGCCGGAGAGGCCCGAUCGCCGUCUCGCCGCCGGCGGGGGCAGGGUCGUGGGAGCCGCCGCCGGGCGCGGCGGGCGCUUCUCCGAUGAGGCAUCCACCACUCCUAGCUCGAUGAUGUAUUCUACCCCGAAGUAGUAUCUGGAUAUAGUUCCUACGAGCUUUGCAGGACUGCAUAAUAUGGUGUGGACAAGUUAUUGAGUAUUUGCAAAAAAAAAAAAAAAAGAGAAAGAAAGAAAAGAAGACAUAUGUUGAAUUGGACAUUGUUAUAUCCUAUUUGGAAAAACGGGGAAAGGACACAGAGGUUUAUUUUAGGAUACAACAAAAAUAUGCUCUGUAAUAUUUGUGAGGUAAACAAAGGCAACUAGAGCCCUUACCCUUUGUAUUUUCUGUGCUUUGAAAUGAAUCCAGUGAGGGAUGCGUAUCUGGAGAAACAAAGCAUAUGGCGAAUUCAAUUGUUAUUUGUGAAGCUCCUGCAUUCCAAGCAGGGCCUGAAUGGGAUUUCCAUUUUAGCAGUAUUUAGAUUUUUUUAUGACAACAUGAUAUUCAUAUAGGCUUGAUUGGUUGAUCCGUGCAAUGUUCUUUUAGUUGACCUGGUUUCUAUUCUACCAAUAAUUCUGCUUGUCCUGAACCUGACGAAAAGUCCAUAUUCAAACCAUCAGAUUUGCUUCAACAUAAACAUUUAUUCUCAAAACGAUGAAAUAAAUCUGAGCAUGGCUUUUUUAAAAAAGAAACAUCAUCUAUCAAACAGGAAGGAGAGCUAUCUGUCAUUAUAUUAAGAAGAAAAUGGAUUAGAACCAAGGAACAAAAUAAUCUAAUUUGCAGUUGAUUCUACAUCUAAUUCAAUCAUGUUACUGUAGUUCUAUGAUCUACGUAGGUACUGUGCAUGUGCAGAUGUCAGCAAAGCUCAAGGUUGGACCAGUCAAUUAAUUUUGCAGCCACAAACAGAAAUGUGUCAAUAACAACAUAUAUGGCCUAUCACUGGUGGGCAUUGGAGUAUUGGGCUCACGAUAAGUCAUCUGCUUACCUAAGAACGGUUGCUAAGGCAGUUUUGGUUCUGGUAUGCAAUCAACCAGAUAUAUAUGUGAUUGUGGAUGACCGUUGUUCCCUCAAUGAACUCCAGUGUAUUUAUUCUUGGGUUGAAAUCUGUAUUAUAUGUAUUGAAAUGAUUUCUUUAUAAUCAUUCACAA